AACGCUACUGGGAGGCCUAACACAUGCAAGCUGAGCGGUAGAGAUCUUUCGGGAUCUUGAGAGCGGCGUACGGGUGCGGAACACGUGUGCAACCUGCCUUUAUCUGGGGGAUAGCCUUUCGAAAGGAAGAUUAAUACCCCAUAAUAUACUGAAUGGCAUCAUUCGGUAUUGAAAACUCCGGUGGAUAGAGAUGGGCACGCGCAAGAUUAGAUAGUUGGUGAGGUAACGGCUCACCAAGUCUACGAUCUUUAGGGGGCCUGAGAGGGUGAUCCCCCACACUGGUACUGAGACACGGACCAGACUCCUACGGGAGGCAGCAGUGAGGAAUAUUGGACAAUGGGUGAGAGCCUGAUCCAGCCAUCCCGCGUGAAGGACGACGGCCCUAUGGGUUGUAAACUUCUUUUGUAUAGGGAUAAACCUACCCUCGUGAGGGUAGCUGAAGGUACUAUACGAAUAAGCACCGGCUAACUCCGUGCCAGCAGCCGCGGUAAUACGGAGGGUGCAAGCGUUAUCCGGAUUUAUUGGGUUUAAAGGGUCCGUAGGCGGAUCUGUAAGUCAGUGGUGAAAUCUCACAGCUUAACUGUGAAACUGCCAUUGAUACUGCAGGUCUUGAGUGUUGUUGAAGUAGCUGGAAUAAGUAGUGUAGCGGUGAAAUGCAUAGAUAUUACUUAGAACACCAAUUGCGAAGGCAGGUUACUAAGCAACAACUGACGCUGAUGGACUAAAGCGUGGGGAGCGAACAGGAUUAGAUACCCUGGUAGUCCACGCCGUAAACGAUGCUAACUCGUUUUUGGAAUGUAAG
rnacentral:rRNA from 1 species